rnacentral:rRNA from 1 species
GACGUAGGGUCCGAGCGUUGUUCGGAAUUACUGGGCGUAAAGGGCGCGUAGGCGGCCUGUUAAGUCGAACGUGAAAUCCCCGGGCUCAACCCGGGAACUGCGUCCGAUACUGGCAGGCUUGAAUUCGGGAGAGGGAUGCGGAAUUCCAGGUGUAGCGGUGAAAUGCGUAGAUAUCUGGAGGAACACCGGUGGCGAAGGCGGCAUCCUGGACCGAGAUUGACGCUGAGGCGCGAAAGCCAGGGGAGCAAACGGG